rnacentral:rRNA from 1 species
GAUGAACGCUGGCGGCGUGCCUAAUACAUGCAAGUCGAGCGAACAGACGAGGAGCUUGCUCCUCUGACGUUAGCGGCGGGCGGGUGAGUAACACGUGGAUAACCUACCUAUAAGACUGGGAUAACUUCGGGAAACCUGAUCCAAUACCCGACAAUAUAUUGAACCGCGUGGUUCAAUAGUGAAAGACGGUUUUGCUGUCCCUUAUAGAUGGAUCCGCGCCGCAUUAGCUAGUUGGUAAGGUAACGGCUUACCAAGGCUACGAUGCGUAGCCGACCUGAGAGGGUGAUCGGCCACACUGGAACUGAGACACGGUCCAGACUCCUACGGGAGGCAGCAGUAGGGAAUCUUCCGCAAUGGGCGAAAGCCUGACGGAGCAACGCCGCGUGAGUGAUGAAGGUCUUCGGAUCGUAAAACUCUGUUAUUAGGGAAGAACAAAUGUGUAAGUAAAUAUGCACGUCUUGACGGUACCUAAUCAGAAAGCCACGGCUAACUACGUG